rnacentral:RNase_P_RNA from 1 species
GAGGCAGGUCGGGCAAUCGCGUCGCUAGGCGGCGAGGAAGGUCCGGACUCCACAGAGCAGGGUAGCGGCUAACAGCCGUCCGGUAAGUGUCAAACGAGCCGAGGAAUAGGGCCACAGAGACGAGACUAAGAUCAGGGCUUGCAUCCGCAAGCACAGCUACGGCGACUCCGUAGUUUUAAGCGCGAGCUUUAAGGUCUUAGGGUGAAACGCGGUAACCUCUACCCGGAGCAAUACCAAAUAGGCAUGCGCUAACUUUAGCAAUAAGGUUGUAGAGCGGCUCGUUCGAGCAUGCGGGUAGGUAGCUAGAGCCCGUUAGUAAUGGCGGGCCCAGAGGAAUGAUUGCCAAUUGGCACCCUAGGUGCUGAUUUACAAAAUCCGGCCUAUAGACCUGUCUCACCU